AUCCUGGCUCAGGAUGAACGCUAGCGGCAGGCUUAACACAUGCAAGUCGAGGGGCAGCGCGUUGUAGCAAUACGAUGGCGGCGACCGGCGAAAGGGUGCGGAACACGUGAGCAACCUGCCCGUGACAGGGGGAUAAGCGCUGGAAACGGCGUCUAAUACCGCGUAACACCGACUGGGGCAUCCCGGUUGGUUGAAAGCUGAGGCAGUCACGGAUGGGCUCGCGGGACAUUAGGUAGACGGCGGGGUAACGGCCCACCGUGCCGACGAUGUCUAGGGGUUCUGAGAGGAAGGUCCCCCACACUGGAACUGAGACACGGUCCAGACUCCUACGGGAGGCAGCAGUGAGGAAUAUUGGUCAAUGGCCGGAAGGCUGAACCAGCCAUGCCGCGUGCAGGAAGGCGGUCCUAUGGAUUGUAAACUGCUUUUAUCAGGGAGCAAUAAGGCGUACGCGUACGCCGAUGAGAGUACCUGGAGAAUAAGCAUCGGCUAACUCCGUGCC
rnacentral:rRNA from 1 species